AUUGAACGCUGGCGGCAUGCCUUACACAUGCAAGUCGAGCGAACCCUUCGGGGUGAGCGGCGGACGGGUGAGUAACGCGUGGGUAACCUGCCCUGUACACACGGAUAACAUACCGAAAGGUAUGCUAAUACGGGAUAACAUAUGAGAGUCGCAUGGCUUUCAUAUCAAAGCUCCGGCGGUACAGGAUGGACCCGCGUCUGAUUAGCUAGUUGGUAAGGUAACGGCUUACCAAGGCAACGAUCAGUAGCCGACCUGAGAGGGUGAUCGGCCACAUUGGAACUGAGACACGGUCCAAACUCCUACGGGAGGCAGCAGUGGGGAAUAUUGCACAAUGGGCGAAAGCCUGAUGCAGCAACGCCGCGUGAGCGAUGAAGGCCUUCGGGUCGUAAAGCUCUGUCCUCAAGGAAGAUAAUGACGGUACUUGAGGAGGAAGCCCCGGCUAACUACGUGCCAGCCGCCGCCGUAAUAC
rnacentral:rRNA from 1 species